rnacentral:rRNA from 1 species
CCUACGGGAGGCAGCAGUGAGGAAUAUUGGUCAAUGGACGAGAGUCUGAACCAGCCAAGUAGCGUGAAGGAUGACUGCCCUAUGGGUUGUAAACUUCUUUUAUAUGGGAAUAAAAUGUGCCACGUGUGGGAUUUUGUAUGUACCAUAUGAAUAAGGAUCGGCUAACUCCGUGCCAGCAGCCGCGGUAAGACGGAGGAGCCGAGCGUUAGCCGGAGUUAUUGGGGUUAAAGGGGGCGUAGGUGGUUUGUUAAGUCAGUUGUGAAAGUUUGCGGCUCAACCGUAAAAUUGCAGUUGAAACUGGCAGUCUUUCGUACAGUAGAGGUGGGCGGAAUUCGUGUUGUAGCGG